ACACUGACGACAUGGUUCUACAAUCAACUUUCGAUGGUAGGAUAGAGGCCUACCGUGGUGGUAACGGGUAACGGGGUGUUAGGGCACGACACCGGAGAGGGAGCCUGAGAAACGGCUACCACAUCCAAGGAUAGCAGCGGGCGCGCAAAUUACCCAGUCCCGACACGGGGAGGUAGUGACAAUAAAUAACGAUACGGGGUUCUUUCGGAUCUCGUAAUUGGAAUGAGUACAAUUUAAAUCUCUUAACGAGGAACAAUUGGAGGGCAAGUCUGGUGCCAGCAGCCGCGGUAAUUCCAGCUCCAAUAGCGUAUAUUAAAGUUGUUGCAGUUAAAAAGCUCGUAGUUGAAUUUCGGGAUCGGAUUGUCGGUCGUGCCUCGGUACGUACUGGCAUUAUUGGUUCCUACCUUCUGAAGAACCGCGAUGUCAUUAAUUUGGUGUCGUGGGGAAUCAGGGCUGUUACUUUGAAAAAAUUAGAGUGUUUAAAGCAGGCGCACGCUUGAAUACAUUAGCAUGGAAUAAUGAAAUAGGACGUUUGAUUCUAUUUUGUUGGUUUCUAGGAUCGACGUAAUGAUUAGUAGGGAUAGUUGGGGCAUUAGUAUUCAAUUGUCAGAGGUGAAAUUCUUGGAUUUAUUGAAGACUAACUACUGCGAAAGCAUUUGCCAAGGAUGUUUUCAUUAAUCAAGAACGAAAGUUAGGGGAUCGAAGACGAUCAGAUGCCGUCGUAGUCUUAACCAUAAACUAUGCCGACUAGGGAUCGGAUGAUGUUAAUUUUUUAAUGACUCAUUCGGCGCCUUACGGGAAACCAAAGUGUUUGGGUUCAGACCA
rnacentral:rRNA from 1 species